rnacentral:tRNA from 1 species
GGAUUAGUAGUCAAGUGGUAAGACAUAGCUCUUUCAGUGCUAUCACCGCGGGUUCGAAUCCCGUCUAAUUCG